AUUGUUAUACUGAUAUUUCACACUCUUCUCCUGAUUUCAUCUUCACAGUUUGAAAAGUGACGAGUUAUCAUCAAGCUAGACAAAGAGGAAAUGAAAUGCUGCGGUGAUGGGGAGCUGAGUUGUCAAGUAGUGUUUAUUGAGUCCUUGAGUCCUGUGGAUGCACUUAUGUGCUACAACAAAGCCUAAAAAGAUGCUGAUGAAAUGCAAACAUGGGCAAAUGUAUGAACUCUGAUUCUACUUUGGUGUAAAGCCCUCUUACCCAUGUAGCCUUGGUAGGAGACCUUUCUAACUUCAGAACAUGUCAAGUAGGUUAAAACACCCCUAUUCGACUCAGAUUUUUGGGCGGAUACUGCACUUCAGAUGUUAGCCAGGUUUGGAAGCUCUGUAGCAACGGAUUCUCAUUAGUAGUCUGCUAAACCUAUACUUCGAGAAGUGUUAUCUGAUUUUACACAAAGAAUUGAAGACCUAAAGUUGC
rnacentral:lncRNA from 1 species